UGGUUUUAGCGGGAAACUUCUCGGGUCAAGAUAUGGGUCUACGCGGUGUCCAUUUUGAGGUUAUGACCCGAGUAUUUAAAUAGUCAAAUAACCUAAAAUCUCAUAGCUUCUCUUUCACGCUAUGUGCUUUCUUCUUCCUAAAAACCCUAAAUAUCUCGAUCGCCAAAUUCUUCUCCUUCACUCCUUUCACUCCUGUUGUUCUUCCUCCUCCGCUUCAACUCCCCAUCUGACGUUGAUUUUAUCAACAAACCCUAUCGAACAAUAUACCCGAUCAAUCCGUUCUUUAGUUUCUUCAUUCCUUUUUCAAACCCUAAAACUCCAGCUGUACAAAGAUUGAAGAGUAGCAGGGUUCUACAUCUAACUUAAAACUUAUGUGGUGAUGGUGCUGUGCUUUUGUCGCUGGAAACCAUGGUAGAAAGCGGUGGUGGUUGAGGGUUUCACUGCAAAUCUGCUCUGUUCUUCGCCGAUUCAUGAUUUAUAUUUGAAGGGUAUGCGAACACAGAUUUAGGGUUAGAUCUGGCGAAAGUUCUGGAGGAUGGUUGAUGUGUUUUUGAUUUCCUUGAUUUUGGUUCCGUUAAAAGGUGAAGGUGGACAUGAGAGUGGAUAUCAGUGAUCCGAGGCUAUGAUGGAUUGUAACAAAAUUAUAGUGAAUUGGGAUAAGCAAGAAAUUAGAAACAGCUAUGAUGGAUUACUAUCUGCUGUUGCAGCUAUGACAAAUAGUAUAUUUGAGUUUUCAGAGUCGCUACAGGAAGUAGGGACCUGUUUGCUGGACAAAACCGUAACCGAUGCUAAUGGUGAAUGUGGAAGAGUGUUACGGUGGCACAAGGCUGAAUUGGGUGGUGAUCGACGGCCGAUUUACUGCGGUGAACUGCGACAUAAAACAAGACGACAACGUCAUGCGUGCUGGGGCUGUUUUGGGAAGAGUCUCCAGCCACUAACACAGCAGCUGCUUCUCGACGAGGUAGGGGUUCUAAGAGAAGUCGUGCUUCCGAAGCUCCCAAAUUUAACUGGACGAUCCUUAUGGCCAAAAUUAAGAAGAUCAACAUUAUGCAUGUUACGGCUUGCAGGUUAAGGACCGACCGUUAUUAGACUUCCCAUUUCACCAACAAAACACUCUUUGCCCCUCCCUUUGCAUCAGUUGCAGAACAUUAUCAUCAUCCAUGUUUGGUGUUUUUUUGGUGAGCUGCAAUCAUUAACACCUAAACCAAUCAUCAUCUUCAUCUAUGUGUUUGAGCAAUCAGAUCAUGUGAUUAUGUAAUUUUGCUGCUGCAAACUGAGCUCCCUUUUUGUGUUAACGUGUGAGGUGGCAAAAUGGGUGGUCGAAAUGGGCCGCCAUUUAGUAUGGUUCAAAACAGGCUGGGUCGGGCUGUGUUGAUCUGCUGAAAUAUUUUGUCCAUGUCCUUAAAUUCUUUUAUUUGUAGUUAAUGCUUUAUUUAUGAAUAUAGAAACAAUUAUAUCAACGUAGGUCUUUCAAACAAAAGCAAUUUAGGAGGUUGUAUGCUUUAUGUAAAUAGAUAUUGGAUGCCUGUCAACCCACCUGCUCUAUUUUUCACUAAGGUUAUUUUUACCAGUUUGAGAUAAAUGAAAACUUGAUACUACCAAGUAUAGUGGUUAAAAUUGCCAACGGACUGUACCUUUUCAGUAAAUAACUAAAUACAUCAUUGUAAAAAAGUUUCACUAAUGCUUCCUGUAUAAAGGCAAGAUCGAGAAAAGGCAGUUUAAACAUUCUCGGAACAGUCCAUUUAUCGUAUCCAGAUUCAAUAGCUAGAUAACCAACUAUAUUAAUCAAUCCCCGACAUCCCUUUUUGUGAUUUAUAAGGUUAAAUAUUGUUGUGUUCGUAAGCUAUUUCUGUCAAAUAUUUGUGAAAUAGAUGAAAUAUUUGUUUGAUUGUACAUAUGGCUUUUGGGACCUAUACGUCUCAUGCCUUUAGCUUUUAAUAUUGGAAGUUACAUUUUCUUUAAAUCUUUCAGAUUAUCAUCUAAAAACCAACCACAACAACUUUGUUUUUUACUACACUUAAGAUCGAAGACAAAAUGGGUGGCAAGGGUCAAAAUGGGUGGUGUAAAAAUGUUUUUUUUUUAGUAAAAUUCUAAAGGGUAAAUGGUCGGGGAAAAAGGAGAUUUCCUAAUAGGCUGAAAACGGGCCAUCCCACUACUUCUUUGGUUCAAAAUGGGUAGUGUAAAAAUGGACCUAUACCUCCCCUUAGCCUUUUUGAUUCCAUUAACAUGUUAUACAUUUUGUAUCAUUUUAAGUAUGUAUUGCUUAUAAAUAAUAAGUAUAUUGAUAACUUUCUCCAGCCCGGGAAGCAUUUCCCGGGUGAUAACCUAGUUAAUAUUAUAUGGAGACAAUGUGGAUGCCAGUUAAGUUUACUUUUUUAAUUUUUAACUGCAUGCUAUUUCUAUAGAGUGGAAAUUACACUUUUCGUCCUUUAUGUUUGUACCGGAUUGCAAUAGAUAGUCUUUAACUUUAAUAAUUACUGUUACGAUCCUUUAUUUGUAAAACCCAUCACACAUUUCGUCAUUUUGCACUAACCAAGUUAAAAUUUUAUGUUAAGUCAGAUCAUGUGCACCUCAUGUGAGGACAUUUAUGUCAUUUUACCCAUAUCCCACAGCCACAGUCUGCCUCAUGUCCCUCACCGCGAACCACCCAAGUGGUGGAUACUCAGAAAACGUUUCCACCACCUGCGAAUCUGGAUUCUAGACUGAAAUGGAGCGAAGCUGGUGUGAUUUGGUAUUUAGAACUGUAAUGGACGUAUAGAACAAUAUGCAAGAUGUGUAAUUUGGCACUGUUGUAUAAUCUAAUUGGGUUUUAUGAUUUGUUAACCGAAUAACAUUAAAUUAAAUGAUGUUUGAUUUCGUGAAUUGGAUAUGAUUCCAU